rnacentral:lncRNA from 1 species
UUGCGUAGCUAAUAGUAAAUAAUUCAUUAAAACCUACGUAGUUAUUAUACAAAAUGUGGAGGAUUGUACUGUAAUAAAUAACACCACCAAAAUCUGCCCUGGUAAGAGUCGACUUGCCCAACUAUUUAUACAAAAUGUGAGACGUUUUACUGCAGUAAACAAUUUAUGAAAAUCUACGUACUUAUUUACACAAAAUGUGGAAGAAUGUACUGCAGUAAACAACACCAUCAAAAUGUGCCUUCAAUGCAAGUAUUACAACCACGGUAGGAUAUCGGCAAAAAAUUUGAGCGGCCUUUGUUGCACUUCAAAUCUGAUAAGGCAUCUGUAUGAACAACAAAGUAACAGUUAAGUGUAAAGUAGUAGUUGAGAAUAUGUAACUUAGACCAAGAAUUGGUAAGCCGUUGAACAUAGAUUUUGCUUUGAAUUGUAAAAAAAUUCAAAAUUCUACUAGAGUAUGGGAACCGCUAAAGACAAUAAAAUUUGGAGACAUUUCGCUAAUAGGAAAAGGAAAGAGACACCAUAUAGUUUUCGAUGGUGAUACCCAUCUAGCAGAUCCAUAUUCAUUUACCUCAUCAAUUUCUAUAUUUGCACCACUAUUCUGUACAAAAAAUGCAAUUUUGUUAUGUCAUUUACAGAUAUACUUAUAAAGGUAUUUCAAAACUUUGAUAUCAUAGCAAACUACAAUAUUUAUGUGACAAUUGAAUUUACCGAUGUCACACCCCUUUUUUUUUACCAAAUUCUAUUAUACCCCCUUAAAUAAAUAAAAAGAUUUAGUAAAAUCUUGAAAAGGAUUUUUCAAUUGAAAAGUGACAAAAUUUUGUUCCAACAGGAAAAUAACUCAGAAUCGCCACCUGACAUUGAUUUCGGUGUGCCAGGCCACCGGUUUUUAGAAAAUACUUUUCCUUUUAAAACACUUUGGAUUCAAAACUAAGUCCACACCAGAGAUUUGGGUAAAGGGAAUUCAUUUGACUCGGGGAGGAGGUGUUAGGCACUCUCCAAGUCCCACAACUAGUGCGGUUGCGUACUCGAUCAAGUUGGAUUCUAAAAUAUUCAAAUUUAGGUAAACAAGCAAAAGAAAACAAACAAUCAAAGAAGCUCGAGGUCGUCUCCACCUAAUAAAAUAAAAUAAAGUAAAAAUAAAAACUAUUUUAUACUUCCUCAAAGUGUUCCAUCACUGACGUAAAAUACAAAUACUUCGGGGCAUUUCCCGGGUUAAAAUAUUUACAAAGUCCACAGGGCAUUCCCCGGAUGAAUUUAUCUAAGGGACAACAUCUCGCCUCAAAAUCCUAACGGUUGCCUACCCGAGUGUGGUCGGCCUGAAGCAUGCUGCUAACGUUAAUAAAGUAGAAUAAAGUAACAAAUGUAAUGCUAAAAUCUCAAUUCUAUUACUUUUAACUUCCAACUCUAGAUCCCACAUCCAUUUCACUAUUUUUGGCCAACAUUUCUUGUCCAGAGUUUAUCAAUCCAUUGCCCAUUAAUCCAACUUAAACUAGUAGUUUAUGAAUUGAUUCACUUAUCACAAAUAUUGCUCUAUUCAUAGUAGUUAAUUAAGAUGAGCAAUUGGACUGAACUUAUAUCAACCAAGAACAUUAAGCCAUCAUUAUGCAAUUCGCAUAGCACAUGAAAAAUAAUAGCGCAAAUAAUAAAGAGAAGGAAACGAGAGAGACCUCAAAAGGUGUUAUGAAAUUUUCUUCGACACUUGAAAAUAGUACAUGACCAUUAAGCCAAAAUGGAGCAAAUAGCAGCACGAACAAGAUGAAAACAGCAAUAGGAACUCGGACAAUAUCCUCGACUGAACAAAACCUCGAAAAACUACUCCAACAAAAAACCGAUCAAAACAGCCGUCCAAAGUCAAUUUGAAAACUCGAAACUCGUCUGAAAAGGGCUCGAAAUGAGCUUUUGGACUCUUACUGUUUCCAGCUUUUACUUGUUUUAUUUUUCUUUACUGUUUUAG